rnacentral:misc_RNA from 1 species
AGCAACGACGCGGACGCAUCUGUCUGGAGGUGGAGUGUUUUCGAAAAACGAUCGCAGCCCACAUGCUUCGUCGACUUCGUCGAGCAUGGCGUACCGCACCAGCGCAAAGGCAUAGUGUGCCGCUCACGUUGGGCUCGACGCGCUGGGUCGGUGGCUCAGCCGCAGUAGCUGAAGAAGUGAGCGCGCAGGAGUACGCGGACCGGCGCAGGCGGUUCCUGGAGUGCCUCCCAGAUAAUUCGAUUGUUCUUCUUCCCGCCGCCGAUGAAUCGCUAUACAGCCACGAUAUCCUGUGGCCGCAUCGUCAAGACUCCUUGUGGUACCACCUGUUUGGCAUGCGCGUCCCGAUGCGGCGUCAGCUCGCCCCGCCUUCGUCGGCGAUCACCGAGGAUGUACGGAUCACCAUCGCGGCCUUUGCCAAGGGCAUGAAGGGCAUCCCCACGCAAACCCUCCUCUGUGUGCCGCCCGUCACGACAGACACAGCGACGCUGGUGUGGGGAUCUGAGGCGGUGCCGCUCAGUCAGUACAAACGUCUUCUCUGCGCGGAUGCUGAUGGUGGUAUGCUAUCGCCUUGCACGCACGAGAACGUGGUCACGACGAACGAAGUGGGCACCGUCUGCGCGGCGGUUCGCCGGCUUAUCACAGACAUGGCACAGCAGCAGGUAAAGGAAUGGGCAGAGCACAGCGGCGUCGAGCUAUCAACGUUGUCGGGAGGAGGAGGAGGAGGAGAAGGGGUGCAGGCAGGGAGGCUUCUUGCGCUGGGCGUCCUGCCGAGAGUGUUCGCGGCGUAUCCGCAACAGCUACGCUGGGAUGGAAGAGGCUACCGCCUUCGCCAGCCAGCGGCAUCGAUGCGGCUCGCAAAAGCGCGGGAUGUAGCCGACAGCACCUCUGUCUUUCGCCAUCCACUUGAGGCUUUCUUCUCCACGUUGAGCGCGAUGCCCUUUGUGGUGCACCUGCCACGUCCACUCCCUCUUGCAACCGCAGCAGCACCAGGGCAGCAGCCGACCUGCAGCGUAGUCGCCUUCCGCUACUCGGCAGUUGCGGGUCACACCCCUGGUCUUGUGCCCAGCACCGCCAAUGCGCUACCUAAGCGAGGCCGCGUGCCCUGCCCCCUACGAGGACGUGAUUCUCCGGCUGCCGUCGCCACCGCAUCCGCAAGCGCUGACAGCGAGCCGGAUGCCACGAUGCAGCUCUGCCUGCCCGUUCGUCGCAGUGAUGCAUACGCGUGGCUGUACCGGCAGUUCAAAGGCCCAUCACAGCUACGGCAGCACCUUCGCAGUGCCCGCGCAACAGAGGAUGCUUUUCUGCAGCUCAUGUACCGCGCCCCCGCGACACUGUCGGAGCACGCGCUGCACUGUGCGUUUCAGCGUGCCGUGUGCGACAUUAGCGCGCACGCCGGGCCAGCUGCCCAGGUACGAUGCGCGUACAUCCCCGUCGUGGCAAGCGGCGUGCGCGGCAGCGAAAUCCACUUCACCGACAACGACGGUGUGGCCGCACCGGGUGACGUUGUGCGCGUGGACGCCGGUGUGGAGGUGGACGGCGUCCCCACGGACUGCGCGCGGACACUGCCGAUAGGCAGUUCACGCUUUCCCUCCUCGUACGUGCCGCUGUACGAGGGAUUGCUCCAGAUUCAGCGCAAGCUGCUCCGGUGCAUGAAGCCUGGGGCUUCGGUCCGUGACAUGGCUCGGAUGCACAUCGACGAAACGCGGGCGUUGCUUUGCUUGCUUGGGGUCGAUGUGCGUCGUGCAGCAUCCUCGUCAGCCACGCCAAGCCCGUGCCCCCACGUGUCGGCUACUGCAACCUCGUCGCCGGAGCAGCAGGUACCGCUUGCCCUGGUGCGCUCCUGCUUCUGUGCUCACUUGUUCGGCCAUUUCUUUGGCCUCGACAUCCAUGAGGAGCUAAGUAGCGUUUCGCGGCCACUCCCAACGGCAGCGGCAAAGGAAGAGGUCGCGCAGCGGCAGCGGCCGACUCCGCGCAUCCUGCAAGGGGGCAUGAUGCACACUGUUGAGCCUGGCGUCUACGUGCCGAGCGCACAAAGAGCGGCCCUCUUCGGCCUCGAGAGGGCGCACUUACCGAUCGCGUUUCACGGUGGCGUUGGCGUGCAAAUCGAAGACGACGUUCUCGUCUUGCCUUCCCCCGAUGGCGAGGACGUCGAUGUAUGCAAGGGUGGAGAGCCUCUGGUGCGCUGUCCGUGGAGCCGUGGGGACUACCUCCAGCACGCCCUCGCUGCCUUUCAUCGCUACCACGGCAGCGGAGACGCAGGGUUGAUGCCCUCCCUGCUAGUGUCUGUGUGCGGCGCGCAUGUGCCCACAGUAUGGGGGGGAUGCAUGACUGCCGCUACGCAAAAUGUGUUGCGCUUCCUGUUUGCCCAGCGCGUGGCUAUGGAAGGGUUACCAAAGGCGAAGGCUUCCGUGGAAACGGACGUGUGCGCCAUACAGCAGCAGACAUUUGUUCCGAAUCCAGCGUACUCAAACGGGCCACCAGUGCCACACGCAGCAGUCUCGGACUGGUACCCGUACUCGAGCAUCGUCUUGACAGCCACUAUCCCGAAGGACAUUGCGCUUAUAGAAGCUGUCAUGCGGCAGUGAAGGCGUGCCGCUUACAUGGGCAGCACACAUCACGUUAGCCCCUCACCAUC